AACUGGGCAUGUGCUGGGGAUUUAGCUCAGUGGUUCCACCACCUGCUUCCCAAGCACAAGGUCCUGAGUUUAAUCCCUGGUACCAAAAUAAACAAAAAAACAAAAGAACAAAAAAAAAAAAACCUGGGCAGAACCCUUGAGGAAAGCGAAAGUUUAACAUUUAUGUAAGGCAAGAAAAGAAGAGCGAAAGAAGUGCUUAAGAAGAAAAAGUGCUCUGAAAAAAGUGUUCUACAGAUCCAUGUAGGAGAGUGUUGACUCAUGGAGAUAAUUUAUGAGCGAUUUAUUGAAAAUCCCUAUGAGGAACUGUGCAAGUCCAGAUCUCCUAGGAAAUUGACGAAGUCCGAGCUUUCUGAUCUACCUCAAGUUAAAGACACCACGCAGUGGAUCCGCCAGCCAUUCCUUUGGGACUUUGCUCUUGGACUUAUUAUCACCUUUUUGUGGAAACUCUCCAUUAGAUCUACAAGACCAUCCUUGAAAACUGCCCUAACCUAGAGUAUUGUGUGAAUCAUCACUAACAGGGAUAAAGGACAGUAUGGGCCAGUUACAUUAUGUUUUCUGUUACUUCUCACAUCUGGACAACUCCUAGGGCCAUCCUAAAAUCUAAGUUAAACGAGUCAGUGUUAACAUUCAGGGUACAGUAAAGAAGUCAACACCUGUCGCUUUUUCUUCCAUCAGGUUGAGUGUGCUCAUCAACUGGCUGGAUGUCCCCUUCAGUGACAACCUUUUGUACAGUCAAUUACAAAGCACCAGGAACAGCAUAAAUUUGAUUAAUUAUCUUAGUCCUCUCAGCAACCCUAUAAAGAAAUUAUUAUUGCCAAUUUGGAGAUAAGGAAACGAGAGUUUAGAAAGUAAAGGGUUGUCCAUUUUUUUAAAAAAAUCACACACUUCUAUGAAUCCAUUGCACUUCCACUGGUCAGCAUAAAG
rnacentral:lncRNA from 1 species